CCUGAGAAACCCGAAAGAUCGAAUGGGGAGAUUCACCGUCAGCGACUUUGGCUUCGCGGUGGUGCGCGAUGCGCGCGACGCCCUUCGGGCGCGUUGCGCCGCACGCCGCUACCGUGUCUCAUGUCCAAACGGCGUCGGCGUGCACUUCUCCCCUAGUAGGACGUCGCGACCCGUUGGGUGUCGGUCUACGGCCCGGUGCGCCGCCUGUCCCGUCGCUUCGGCGUCGCGGGGCAGACGCCCGGAUGCCCGAUCGGCUGCUCGGCGGUAUUCGUACGGUAUACGGCCGCAAUUCUUUCGAACUGCGUCUCAGGCCCGCCGCAAGCGCGGUCAGUGUUACACCCGGAGGUUACGGACCUAGUGCCGUCCCCGGGCCUGGCCCGCUGUUCGCCGGCGGAUGUCCUCUGACAGGCCGAUCGCAAACGAUGUGAUUACCGGUCGGCGACGCUACUGCUUUGGGUACUUUCAGG
rnacentral:rRNA from 1 species